rnacentral:rRNA from 1 species
CCUACGGGAGGCAGCAGUGGGGAAUAUUGGGCAAUGGGCGAAAGCCUGACCCAGCAACGCCGCGUGAAGGAAGAAGGCUUUCGGGUUGUAAACUUCUUUUGACAGGGAAGAGCAGAAGACGGUACCUGUCUAAUAAUCCACGGCUAACUACGUGCCAGCAGCCGCGGUAAUACGUAGGUGGCAAGCGUUGUCCGGAUUUACUUGGUGUAAAGGGCGUGUAGCCGGGCUGACAAGUCAGAUGUGAAAUCCGGGGGCUCAACCCCCGAACUGCAUUUGAAACUGUUGGUCUUGAGUAUCGGAGAGGCAGGCGGAAGUCCUAGUGUAGCGGUGAAAUGCGUAGAUAUUAGGAGGAACACCAGUGGCGAAGGCAGCCUGCUGGACGACAACUGACGGUGAGGCGCGAAAGCGUGGGGAGCAAACAGGAUUAGAUACCCUAGUAGUC